UUGGAGAUGAAGUUUAGUGCCAGAUGUAAGGAACUGCUUAACAUCAACGGCAAGGUCUAACAAGGGACCUGAGGGCACAGUCCUCAGGAUGUUUCGGGGAGAAUAGGAGCCAGAACCUGAGACCCUAAGCCAUUCCCCUCACCAAUGAUGGGGUCCCCAGUGAGUCAUCUGCUGGCUGGCUUCUGUGUGUGGGUCGUCUUGGGCUGGGUAGGGGGCUCAGUCCCCAACCUGGGCCCUGCUGAGCAGGAGCAGAACCAUUACCUGGCCCAGCUGUUUGGCCUGUAUGGAGAGAAUGGGACGCUGACUGCAGGGGGCUUGGCGCGGCUUCUCCACAGCCUGGGGCUAGGCCGAGUUCAGGGGCUUCGCCUGGGACAGCAUGGACCUCUGACUGGACGGGCUGCACCCCCAGCUGCAGACAAUUCCACGCACAGGUACUGACCCCU